AGCAUGAUUGCUGGAUCAUAUGAUAAGAGUAUGUUUAGCUUUGUAAGAAACUGCCAAACUAUCUUCCAAAGCGGCUGUACCAUUUUGCAUUCCCACUAGCAGU
rnacentral:pre_miRNA from 1 species